rnacentral:rRNA from 1 species
AUGAACGCUGACAGAAUGCUUAACACAUGCAAGUCAACUUGAACUUCGGUUUGGGUGGCGGACGGGUGAGUAACGCGUAAAGAACUUGCCUCACAGAUAGGGACAACAUUUGGAAACGAAUGCUAAUACCUGAUAUUAUGAUUUUAGGGCAUCCUAGGAUUAUGAAAGCUAUAUGCGCUGUGAGAGAGCUUUGCGUCCCAUUAGCUAGUUGGAGAGGUAACGGCUCACCAAGGCGAUGAUGGGUAGCCGGCCUGAGAGGGUGAUCGGCCACAAGGGGACUGAGACACGGCCCUUACUCCUACGGGAGGCAGCAGUGGGGAAUAUUGGACAAUGGACCAAGAGUCUGAUCCAGCAAUUCUGUGUGCACGAUGAAGUUUUUCGGAAUGUAAAGUGCUUUCAGUUGGGAAGAAAAAAAUGACGGUACCAACAGAAGAAGUGACGGCUAAAUACGUG